AGAUUGAAGAGUUUGAUUCUGGCUCAGAUUGAACGCUAGCGGCAUGCUUAACACAUGCAAGUCGAACGGCAGCGCAGGGAGGCUUCCUCCGUGUGAGUAGAGCGGCGGACGGGUGAGUAACGCGGAGGAAUCUGCCCAGUAGUGGGGGACAACCCGAGGAAACUCGGGCUAAUACCGCAUACGCCCUACGGGGGAAAGGAGGGGACCUUCGGACCUUGCGCUAUUAGAUGAGUCUACUUCGGAUUAGCUUGUAGGUUAGGUAAUGGCUAACCUAGGCGAUGAUCCGUAGCUGGUCUGAGAGGAUGAUCAGCCACACUGGGACUGAGACACGGCCCAGACUCCUACGGGAGGCAGCAGUGGGGAAUAUUGGACAAUGGGCGAAAGCCUGAUCCAGCAAUACCGCGUGUGUGAAGAAGGCCUUCGGGUUGUAAAGCACUUUCAGUGGGGAAGAAAGAGCCAAGGUUAAUAGCCUUGGAAGUUGACGUUACCCACAGAAGAAGCACUGGCUAACUCUGUGCCAGCAGCCGCGGUAAUACAGAGAGUGCAAGCGUUAAUCGGAAUUACUGGGCGUAAAGCGCGCGUAGGUGGAUAUUUAAGUCGGAUGUGAAAGCCCCGGGCUCAACCUGGGAACUGCACUCGAUACUGGGUAUCUAGAGUAUGGGAGAGGAAAGUGGAAUAUCCGGUGUAGCGGUGAAAUGCGUAGAGAUCGGAUGGAACACCAGUGGCGAAGGCGACUUUCUGGACCAUAACUGACGCUGAGGCGCGAAAGCGUGGGGAGCAAACAGGAUUAGAUACCGGUAGUCCACGCCCUAAACGAUGUCUACUAGCCGUUGGAAUCCUUAGAGGUUUUAGUGGCGCAGCUAACGCAAUAAGUAGACCGCCUGGGGAGUACGGCCGCAAGGCUAAAACUCAAAUGAAUUGACGGGGGCCCGCACAAGCGGUGGAGCAUGUGGUUUAAUUCGACGCAACGCGAAGAACCUUACCUACUCUUGACAUCCUCGGAACUUAGCAGAGAUGCUUUGGUGCCUUCGGGAACCGAGUGACAGGUGCUGCAUGGCUGUCGUCAGCUCAUGUCGUGAGAUGUUGGGUUAAGUCCCGUAACGAGCGCAACCCUUGUCCUUAGUUGCCAGCACGUAAUGGUGGGAACUCUAAGGAGACUGCCGGUGACAAACCGGAGGAAGGUGGGGACGACGUCAAGUCAUCAUGGCCCUUACGUCUUGGGCUACACACGUGCUACAAUGGGGAGUACAGAGGGUUGCCAAGCCGCGAGGUGGAGCUAAUCCCAGAAAACUUCUCGUAGUCCGGAUUGGAGUCUGCAACUCGACUCCAUGAAGUUGGAAUCGCUAGUAAUCGCGAAUCAGAAUGUCGCGGUGAAUACGUUCCCGGGCCUUGUACACACCGCCCGUCACAUCAUGGGAGUGUGUUGCACCAGAAGUAGCUAGUUUAACCUUCGGGAUGACGGUUACCACGGUGUGGUUCAUGAC
rnacentral:rRNA from 1 species